rnacentral:sRNA from 1 species
AUUUGUUGAGGACAAAUAAAAUGAAUAUGCGCAUCAAUUCCGCCUGCAGUGACUAUAUUCCCCUCUCCUGCAAUGACCUCCGUACUCGCUCCAACAACCAUUGGGUUUUUAAUCGCUGUAUCCGGGUCGCCAUAAUAGGAACCAAUCCCAGACUGAAUCCCUGGAUUACCUCCAUGUCCAAUUCCAACGAUUCGCCCAUCUUUAACUCCGAUGUCAGCCUUAAUAACCCCGAGCUCAGCAUCUAUAAUGGUCGCAUUCGUAAUGAUCAAAUCAAGGGCAUCCUCUCGCAUUGCAGUUGGAGAUUGUCCCAUACCAUCCC